GACGAACGCUGGCGGCGUGCCUAAUACAUGCAAGUUGAGCGCUGAAGGUUGGUACUUGUACCAACUGGAUGAGCAGCGAACGGGUGAGUAACGCGUGGGGAAUCUGCCUUUGAGCGGGGGACAACAUUUGGAAACGAAUGCUAAUACCGCAUAAAAACUUUAAACACAAGUUUUAAGUUUGAAAGAUGCAAUUGCAUCACUCAAAGAUGAUCCCGCGUUGUAUUAGCUAGUUGGUGAGGUAAAGGCUCACCAAGGCGAUGAUACAUAGCCGACCUGAGAGGGUGAUCGGCCACAUUGGGACUGAGACACGGCCCAAACUCCUACGGGAGGCAGCAGUAGGGAAUCUUCGGCAAUGGACGAAAGUCUGACCGAGCAACGCCGCGUGAGUGAGGAAGGUUUUCGGAUCGUAAAACUCUGUUGGUAGAGAAGAACGCUGGUGAGAGUGGAAAGCUCAUCAAGUGACGGUAACUACCCAGAAAGGGACGGCUAACUACGUG
rnacentral:rRNA from 1 species